GAUGAACGCUGACAGAAUGCUUAACACAUGCAAGUCGACUGUGGCGGACGGGUGAGUAACGCGUAAAGAACUUGCCUCACGGAUAGGGACAACAUUUGGAAACGAAUGCUAAUACCUGAUACUGUGAGAGAGCUUUGCGUCCCAUUAGCUAGUUGGAGAGGUAACGGCUCACGAAGGCGAUGAUGGGUAGCCGGCCUGGGAGGGUGAUCGGGCACAAGGGGACUGGGACACGACCCUUACUCCUACGGGGGGCAGCAGUGGAGGAUAUAUGACGAUGGACCAAAGUCUGAUGCAGCAAUUCUGUGUGCACAAUACAGUUUUCGGGAUGAAAAGUGCUUUCAGUUGAGAAGCGGUACCAACAGAAGAAGUGACGGCUAAAUACGUGCCAGCCGCCGCGGUAAUAC
rnacentral:rRNA from 1 species